rnacentral:snRNA from 1 species
AGCUUUGCGCAGUGGCAGUAUCGUAGUCAAUGAUGUUUAUUCGAGGCGCGAUUACUGCUAAUUGAAAACUUUUCCCAAUACCCUGCCAUGACAAUUUGAAAUAGUCAGCAUUGGCAAUUUUUGACAGUCUCUACAGAGA